rnacentral:rRNA from 1 species
UACAGAGGGGGCAAGCGUUGUUCGGAAUUACUGGGCGUAAAGGGCGCGUAGGCGGCCUGUUAAGUCGAACGUGAAAUCCCCGGGCUCAACCCGGGAACUGCGUCCGAUACUGGCAGGCUUGAAUCCGGGGAGAGGGAUGCGGAAUUCCAGGUGUAGCGGUGAAAUGCGUAGAUAUCUGGAGGAACACCGGUGGCGAAGGCGGCAUCCUGGACCGGUAUUGACGCUGAGGCGCGAAAGCCAGGGGGAGCAAACGGGG